rnacentral:rRNA from 1 species
GACGAACGCUGGCGGCGUGCUUAACACAUGCAAGUCGAACGGAAAGGCCCUGCUUUUGUGGGGUGCUCGAGUGGCGAACGGGUGAGUAACACGUGAGUAACCUGCCCUUGACUUUGGGAUAACUUCAGGAAACUGGGGCUAACACCGGAUAGGAGCUCCUGCUGCAUGGUGGGGGUUGGAAAGUUUCGGCGGUUGGGGAUGGACUCGCGGCUUAUCAGCUUGUUGGUGGGGUAGUGGCUUACCAAGGCUUUGACGGGUAGCCGGCCUGAGAGGGUGACCGGCCACAUUGGGACUGAGAUACGGCCCGGACUCCUACGGGAGGCAGCAGUGGGGAAUAUUGCACAAUGGGCGGAAGCCUGAUGCAGCAACGCCGCGUGCGGGAUGACGGCCUUCGGGUUGUAAACCGCUUUCGCCUGUGACGAAGCGUGAGUGACGGUAAUGGGUAAAGAAGCACCGGCUAACUACGUG